UACGUAGGGGCAAGCGGUUUGUCCGGAUUUAUUGGGCGUAAAGAGCGUGUAGGCGGCUUGGUAGGUCUCGCGUCAAAACCUGAGGCUCAACCGUCAGUUCGCGUGGGAAACCACCUAGCUAGAGUCCGGAAGAGGAGAACGGAAUUCCCAGUGUAGCGGUGAAAUGCGCAGAUAUUGGGAAGAACACCAGUGGCGAAGGCGGUUCUCUGGGACGGUACUGACGCUGAGACGCGAAACGUGGGAGCGAACAGG
rnacentral:rRNA from 1 species